CGAGCCGCCGAUCUCAGAUACCAAAAUGCGCUCUCCUGGUACGCUAGUUCCGCCACGCUCGUUCCGGACCAACUCUAACAUAGAUCCCUUUGUGCGCAGCGCUUAGGCGAGCAGACUGUACCGUACGAUAAAGGACGUAAUUAGUGUUCAACAUUUCAGACAGCAAAGGGCCUAUCUUCGUGAGUUUAUUUAUCGCAAGAGUAAGAACAUAACAUAACCAUAAAUUUCAAGGCACCAACGACGCUGGAGGAAGGGAAAUAUGUGGCGUCGCGUCCGGUAAUCUCCAACGACCCAGCUCGUCGCUCCAAGUGGCCGUGGAUCUGACGGCAGCGACAUCGCGAAACGGACAUCCCGGUCGAAGAUGAGGAACCAUCGCGUCGCAUAUUUGCGAGUCUAUCUCCGGUAGCACCAGUCCUCGCUUGCCUCUCGGACCCGGCAAGAUCCACCAGGUGAAGCCUUCCUCUCUUUACCGGAUUCUCAGUCUUACUGCUCUCUUCGUUAAUGGCCAGCGUUUCCAAGGACAACGUCAAC